GGAAACGGUUCUAGGGCUGGAUUUGAGAAUCCCAUAUGCACGAUUGCAGCACACCAGGGCAUUCCAUGAUCCAACAGCCUUCUCUCCUUCCUGCCUCCACUGAUGCCAACGUGCAGUAACUGCUCAUUAGCAAAGAAGUAAUUUGUUUUUCCUCAGCCGUGCUUUAUUGCAUUCACAAGGAAUAGUGAGUGUUACUUUGGUGGUAUUUGGCGACUGGAGGAUUUGUGAAGCGUGGAUCUUUAAAUCUCCUCAAAAUGGACCAUUCCCCGGAAGAAGAUGCACUUAGUUUUACUCAGCACAGAUCUUGAAGUUCAACAGACUGAAACGGCAAGAUAUUGUAGAAGCCACAUUAACUAUUAAGGCUCAAGGGAAAAGGUAAGUGUAUGGUGUUGAUAUUUAAUAUAUUUUUAGAGAAAUACUGAGUACACUGAACCUAUUUUCCAAAUUGUCAAAAACAAGGAGGAAAGAAGGAAUAGGACAACCAUAAGAAAGCACAAAGGGGAAAGAAAAGAAAGGAAAACCUGAUCAAUCAGGUAUCACUCUGUCACAGUGUGGGAGAUGAGUUUCACUUUGUGCAUUGUAGAUCCAGUGGACACAACUGCCACCUCUCUCUCUCUUUUACACACACACACACAAACACACAUGCACAAUGCAUGCACACACAUGUACAUACACACACUGGCUGGACUACACAUGUAAUAGCUGUUAAGUCUCAAUUAUUUACUGAUCCCUCAAAUACUACUAUGGUAAUAAUAUUAGCCAUCAAGUACUGAGGUUUCCUGUACACUAGCUAUCAUGAUACUUUGCAUUAAUUACUACAGUAUUUUCAUUCCAAAUUUAUAGAUGAUGAAUCUGAAAGAUGGGAUGAUAUUUUUCAGUCAAAAGUCACUCACAUCUUACAUGGAAGAGCCACAUUUUUAAAUCAUACCACUUGACUUCAGUCUGGACUUUGGCAAUCUACGUCUUUAUUUCUCUAUCCUCAAGUGAAAGAUGGAAGGAAGUGAAGGGAGGCCCACAGGGCUGUGCCACCUCUUAUGGCCCCAGUGACACCUAAGUCAGAGGCAGAUGAGGAGCUAGAGCUCAGCUAACUUGACUGCCAGAUCAGUGGCCUCUCCUUUGCACUCCCGAGCUUUAACUUUUAGUCAUGAAAUCUGUCACCACAAGUCAACUUCAGGCUACCUCUGGCCUUGCAAUGAGAUUUAGGGGGAGGUAUCUGAGCAUACACUAAAAAAUAUUUUGCAAAAACCUGCCUAUAAAUAUUUUUGAAAAAGAUGGCAUUAAAUCAGUUCAGAUUCUAGAUUGUUGGUGAUAGGAUACAAGAGAUGAUCGAAAAUAUAGUGAAUGUUUAGUUUUUUCUUUUAAAAAAUGUAUUAC
rnacentral:lncRNA from 1 species